rnacentral:rRNA from 1 species
CCUACGGGAGGCAGCAGUGAGGAAUAUUGGUCAAUGGCCGUAAGGCUGAACCAGCCAAGCAGCGUGCAGGAUGAAGGUGCCAAGCAUUGUAAACUUCUUUUGUCCAGGGACAAAAUCAGGCACGAGAGCCUGACCGAGGGUACUUGAAGAAUAAGCAUCGGCUAACUCCGUGCCAGCAGCCGCGGUAAUACGGAGGGUGCGAGCGUUAUCCGGAUUUAUUGGGUUUAAAGGGUGCGUAGGCGGGCUGUUAAGUCAGCGGUAAAAGCGCGGGGCUCAACCCCGGCGAGCCGUUGAAACUGGCGGUCUUGAGAUGGCGAGAGGUAUGCGGAAUGCGUAGUGUAGCGGUGAAAUGCUUAGAUAGUGCGCAGAACUCCGAUUGCGAAGGCAGCAUACCGGCGGCGAUCUGACGCUGAGGCACGAAAGCGUGGGUAUCGAACAGGAUUAGAUACCCUAGUAGUC